ACCUGCAAAGCCUGAGGAAUAGCAGCGUCCAACCUCUCCCUCUGACCUCUGCCCCCAUUGCCACGCCUCCUUCUGACCCGCUUGAAAGGACCCACGUGAUUACCCCGGGCUCACUGGAUAAUCCCGGGUAUCUCCCUGCGUCAAGAUCCUUAACUUGGUCACACCUGCGGAGGCUCCUGUGCCCCGUAAGGGAAUGCACUCCCAGGUUCUGCAGGUCAGCACGUGGACAUCCUUGGGGCCAUUAUUCUGCCGACCACACUAACUGUGUAACUUUAAACAGUGUAUUUAACCUCUGUAUCUUAUCCCAUCAAUUUUAGCAAAAGCUCUUGCUACCACCCACGUCAUUUGCUCAACAAAUAUUUGUUCUGGGAGCUGGGCUCACAGCACCGAACAAAACAGGCAAAACCCCUAUUCCGGAGGAGUUUAUGUUCUGGUGGGGAAGACAGAUAAUAAAAUGAGUGAGUGAGUAAAUUAUGUUCCCAGCACAGUUGAUUUUUGGAUGAUGAUUUGGCAAAAGUUAUGUGCCUGCUCUUUGACCCAGCAAGCCCACCACUAAAAGUCGUGUAUGAAGCUGUGUGCAAAGUCUGUUCUGUUUUAUAUCAUUAUUUAUCGCAGCAAACACGUGGGAACAAUCUAAAAGCUUAUUAAUGGUAAAUAAUGUACCAUUAAAUAUAAUUGGCAGAGGCUUCUCUGGGGGACAGGAGACCUCAAGCAUUGCACACCUUCCCGUGUUUGUCUAACUGGGUCGGAGCCAGACUGGCGUGACGUGACUACCUGUACACUGAAGACACCUGCUUCUCUUCCUGUAGCGGUAUUUGGCGCCUGCAUUCAGAUUUUAAAAGCCGCUUGCAGUUAUUGACUCACAGGAUCAGCUCAGCUCCGAGUCGAGGCCUGUUCACAAAACCGACACAGGAACCAGCAGGAAGAGCAACCCCGGGGCCAGGCUUGGGUCUCCGCCCGCGGCUCCUGGGGUCAGAGCGCCUGAGCCAGCCGGGGAAGGACCCAGGGCGGCCGGAAGCCUCCUGGGUCUCAGCAUCCAGACCUCCUUCUACCAGGGGCUCCUCUUGCAAGGCCCCCAGGCCCCUCCCCCUGAGCUGAGUACCAGCCCAGAGUGCUUAUCUGGACGCUCCUCUGCUGGAUGCCCUCCUUGGUGUCUGAGUCUCUCUCUUGUCGGUCGUGCAGCGAGUCUGCUGUUUUAAAUGUGCUGACUUACUGCAUCUUCUCACAGCCCUUCACACAGGCGGAUGUACCUGAGGUUCCACGAGGCUGCGGGCUCACCCAGCCUGGACUCCACUGUCCCCUCUGUGACCCACCCGCCGUUCUCUCCUGCCCCCCUCUCCCCGGUGGGUUAUUGUCUUGGUUCUCCACUUGCCUUAUG